AGCAAACCUUCUUUCUCCU
rnacentral:miRNA from 1 species